rnacentral:snRNA from 1 species
AUGUUGCAUAAAAGGAAAGGCUAGUAUUCCCCUUGACAAGGAUUGAAGAGGUCCUUGGGCCUAGCUAACAUGCAUAUAUAU